UAAUCCACCAAUCACAGAAAACUACGUGGCGAUUUUUAGGCCUUAUCUAAUCUAUCGGGCGUCUUUCUUUUCAAAUCAGUGGAGUGCUUUUUAAAGAACAGUUGGUUUUUUCCAGAACAAAAAAAAAGAAAAGUGGAGUGAUUUAAAACAUUUAUUCUUGCAAUUCUAAGCUCGAACAGCAAGAUUUUUUCGAGAAAAUUGUUUUCAAAUAGAACUAUAUUAUUUGGAUCUCCUUCAAGUUUUGAAAGUAAUAAUUCAGGACCAGUGCCCAAGCAACGUGGGCGGUUAGUCCAGAGUGGAUGCUGCGAGUCCGCAAAGGGUUGGUUCGAUCAAAUUCGAAGUUGGUCAAAGUGGCG